rnacentral:rRNA from 1 species
UACAGAGGGUGCGAGCGUUGUUCGGAAUUACUGGGCGUAAAGCGUGCGCAGGCGGUUGUGUAAGACAGAUGUGAAAUCCCCGGGCUCAACCUGGGAACUGCAUUUGUGACUGCACGGCUGGAGUGUGGCAGAGGGGGAUGGAAUUCCGGCGUGUAGCAGUGAAAUGCGUAGAUAUGCGGAGGAACACCGAUGGCGAAGGCAACUCCCUGGCCGCACUGACGCUCAUGCACGAAAGCGUGGGGAGC